GCUACUCCUUGAAGGACACUGUCAACUUCUACAUGAGGCCAAUCGAAGGUCUGACGGUGCUUGUGGAUUUGGACAGCAAGCAAGUGGUCGAGAUUUCAGAUCGAGGACAGAACAUCCCCAUACCCAACGCCGCCAACACAGACUAUCGCUACUCCGCCCAGAGCAAACCCACGAACCUACUCAACCCGAUAUCCAUAGAGCAGCCCAAGGGCCCGAGUUUCACAGUAGAAAACGACCACUUGAUCAAAUGGGCAAAUUGGGAAUUCCACCUCAAAGCCGAAUCAAGAGCCGGAGUGAUAAUUUCCCGGGUCAUGUUUCGGGACCCGGACACCGGAUUGCUGAGGAAUGUGAUGUACAAAGGCUUAAC
rnacentral:lncRNA from 1 species